GCCAAGACUAGUUUAUGGCCAGUAGCCAUAGUCACAAGUGACAAGCUGCUGAGCCUACUCCAAAUGAAACAACCACAGGCCAUCAGAGCGUUCACUGAGUCCACUGGAUUAGCAAAGCAGGACAACGCCUUCUGUACCACCAUCUAUGCCAUCUAGUUAGGAGGCAGAAUCUCAGGACUAAUUGCUUCAUUUCUUCAUUUGGCCUUGAAAAAACAUUUCAUUAUUUGUUGUUGCCUGCUAUGUGGAAGGGACCAAGAAUAUCCUCUAAAACGGAAUCUGUUUUGUUUGGUGCUAUGGAGACCCUAGGGAGGAAAAAAUUUCUUUGAAAGAGGGGCUGUCAUUUCCAACUUAUCUUUACUACUCACCUCAAUGCUCGAGGAUCUCUCCACUCAUUCAUGAAGCGUAAUAAGGAGGACACGAAAGCUGGAGCUGGGGGAUGUCUGGCUAUUUUAUAUAAGAUGGCUGAGGAAGGCAGCAAAGGUAUUCAAGCCAAGACCUGAGGGACACGAGCAAGCAAGCCACACAGACGUGUGCAAGAAAGGGGAUUGCAGCAAACGUGAAGAGGAAGCUGCAGCGUGGUUUGUAAAUCAUGAAAGAUCAAGGAAGCUGUGAGGACACAAUGAGAAGAUGGCCAUCUGCAAGCCAGGAAGAGAGCCCUCCCUGAGGAACUGAACGGGCCAGCACCUUGGGCUUGGACUUCCAGUCUCCUGAACUGUUCCCUAAAGAGAUGCAUAAAUCUUGUGAGACGAGACACUGCAUGAAAAAUCUCUCUUCCAGAUAAUGGUUAUGGUGGUUUUAAAACAUGACUUCAAAUUCUUUGGGACUCCUCCCAUCAAAAGUGGGGUGCUUGUGAAGAUAUUUCCAAGGACGUAGUUCCCUGGAAGGAAGAAGUUCUGCGCUCCAGUGGGACCUCAUCAGAUACCCCUCCAUCUCUCCAUCUCCGGCUCUCCAGGAUAUUCUUCACAGCCUCCUCCUGCUGUUGUCCCUCUGUCUCUCUACAUCUUGGGAUAAUGGAAAGAUGGCUUCAGAUCAGGCCUCCAUUGUGCAACUGGCCCAUCCAGAAACUCAAGAAACUUCCCUGUGCCCAAAGUGGAGAGAACUCUGAGGCUCUGGGGAGGCAGAAACACAAAAUGGAAGGAAACUGAACUACUGGAUGUCAUCUGGAAGGCCCACCCUCUGACCAGGAACACCAGCAUUAGACACUCAUGUGCAAUCAGAGGUUGGCUGGGCUGAAGUCAUCUGAAGGCUUGACUGGGCAGGACAUGGAAGAUGGUUCACUCAGAUGGCUGGCAGUUGGAGCAGGCUGUCUGCUGGGCUCAGCUGGAGCCAAUGACUGGCAAACUGACAUAUGUUCCCCAGCCUGGUCAUCUCAGAGUUGUCAGCUUUCUUACAGGGUGCCUAACUUCCAGCUUCCCCACAAUGUCAAUGCCAACAAAGGAGGCUGAGAAGCAGAGGCAAGGACUGGGAGCAAGGAUCCAGAGCGUGUUAUUGCAUGGAAGACCAGAGAAAGAAGUCAUCAAUGGUGCAAUGGUGCUGAGAUGUUAGGUUCAAGAAGACCAGAGGAGUGACGGGUGGAUUUGGCAACCUAGAGUCAUGGUUGGCCUCGACAAGAGUGGCCUCUAUGGAAUGUGGGGUGACUAUGAAGAAGCCAGAAUUAAAAUAGCUUGCAAGGGAGUGACUUUAAUAAUUCACCAAAGUGAACAAUUUAUUGUGGACUGGAGAUUUUGCUGAGAGGUCAACGAGCAGCUGAUGUGGA
rnacentral:lncRNA from 1 species